AGAAAAAGGAGAUGGUUGAACCCCAGAGUUUGAGGCUGAGCAGCCUUCAGUGCCCCUGACCUGCUGUUUUUAUGUUUGAGGUGUGGGGUCACCCGUGCCUCGUUCCGGCACUUUCCCCUGUGCUGACUGCAGCCCCUGUGACCCUGCACAGGGCUUUGGCCGGUUCCUGAUGCUGCCUGGGAAGACAUCCGAGGUGGAAUUCUGUUACAUCCUCUCUGACAAGCCAUUUUAGAAGUCCAAAUAGAAGUUAAGCUAAGGAGAAGCCAGGUAAUGUUAUGGCAGUCUCUGAUUCCCUCAGGGCUCAGACGCUCGUGUCCUUAGAAUGCUUUAGGAUUUCCCACGGGCUCAGACCACAACCCUACACAGUUUCAAAUAAUGUGUAUCUUGCCAUCCAAGUCAGUAAUUGAUCGUGCAAGUGACUCAGAAGUAAAGCAAUCUAGAAAACACAGCUAAUUGUGUACCAAGCACUGACAUAGUUUAUACUGCCUCCUUCUAAAAAACCCCAAAAAUACCUACGGGUUUAUUUAGAAACAAGCGAGAUAGCUAAAGCAGCAAUAAAAAUCGGUCAGUCAGUGGGAAUUUUUGAAGAGGAAACUGCAGCUUCUCCACUGGCAGCUGCCUGGUGAAAGAAUGAGUGUCUCACCUUUGGUGUCAGAAAUUCAAAAGCCAACCCAGAGCUUCCUGCAACAGGGACAGUGUUUGGUUGUUGCUGCCACCCAGAGCAGGCGAACUGCUGUGUUCCUGGUAAAGAGGUCAGCCCAAAGCACAAUCCAUUUAAAGCUCUGUGCCAUAACAAUGUGGAGAGCAGUUUCAAAGAAAAAAGUCUGGAAAAAUCUAAUCCAAAGCUGAACCCCAGGGAAGAGCUAGAGUUUCACUGUGCUCAGAGCUUCCUCUUACAAGUGCUGCCCCAAAUACAUCGCGGAGACAUCAGCAAGAAUUUUUUCACGGAAAAACACUGGAAGGGGUUGUCCAGGUAGAUGCUUCCUGGUCUGAAGUGUUGUCAUGGAGAUACAAAGCAGGUGACGGCCAG